GACAGAGGAUGCAAGCGUUAUCCGGAAUGAUUGGGCGUAAAGCGUGCGCAGGCGGUUCGCAAAGACGGGUGUGAAAUCCCCGGGCUUAACCUGGGAACUGCAUUGGUGACUGCAUUGUUGGAGUAUGGCAGAGGGGGGUGGAAUUCCACGUGUAGCAGUGAAAUGCGUAGAGAUGUGGAGGAACACCGAUGGCGAAGGCAGCCCCCUGGGCCGAAUACUGACGCUCAUGCACGAAAGCGUGGGGAGCAAACAGG
rnacentral:rRNA from 1 species